rnacentral:rRNA from 1 species
CCCUUAGAUGUCCUGGGCCGCACGCGCGUUACACUGAUGCAUUCAACGAGCUUAUAACCUUGGCCGAGAGGCCUGGGCAAUCUUGUUAACGUGCAUCGUGAUAGGGAUAGAUUAUUGAAAUUAUUAAUCUUGAACGAGGAAUUCCUAGUAAACGCAGAUCAUCAAUCUGCAUUGAUUACGUCCCUGCCCUUUGUACACACCGCCCGUCGCACCUACCGAUUGGAUGGUCCGGUGAAGCCUCGGGAUUGUGGUCCUCGCCGCUUUAUUGUGGCGUGACCGCGAGAACUUGUCUAAACCUUAUCAUCUAGAGGAAGGUGAAGUCGUAACA